UACAGAGGGUGCAAGCGUUGCUCGGAUUUACUGGGCGUAAAGCGUACGCAGACGGUUUGGUAGGUCGGAUGUGAAAGCCCCGGGCUCAACCCGGGAAUUGCAUCCGAAACCACCUCACUCGAGUGUGGGAGAGGGAAGCGGAAUUCCUGGUGUAGAGGUGAAAUUCGUAGAUAUCGGGAGGAACACCAGUGGCGAAGGCGGCGACCUGGGCCAAUACUGACGCUGAGGUGCGAAAGCGUGGGGAGCAAACAGG
rnacentral:rRNA from 1 species